UGCCAGCCGCCGCGGUAAUACAGAGGGUGCAAGCGUUGUUCGGAAUCAUUGGGCGUAAAGCGCGCGUAGGCGGUUACGUAAGUCUGAUGUGAAAGCCCGGGGCUUAACCUCGGAAGUGCAUCGGAAACUGCGUAACUUGAGUCUCGGAGAGGGUGGUGGAAUUCCAGGUGUAGAGGUGAAAUUCGUAGAUAUCUGGAGGAACAUCGGUGGCGAAGGCGACCACCUGGACGAUGACUGACGCUGAGGUGCGAAAGCGUGGGUAGCAAACAGGAUUAGAUA
rnacentral:rRNA from 1 species